rnacentral:rRNA from 1 species
CCUACGGGAGGCUGCAGUGGGGAAUAUUGCACAAUGGGCGCAAGCCUGAUGCAGCCAUGCCGCGUGUGUGAAGAAGGCCUUCGGGUUGUAAAGCACUUUCAGCGGGGAGGAAGGCGUUAAGGUUAAUAACCUUGUCGAUUGACGUUACCCGCCGAAGAAGCACCGGCUAACUCCGUGCCAGCAGCCGCGGUAAUACGGAGGGUGCAAGCGUUAAUGCGGAAUUACUGGGCGUAAAGCGCACGCAGGCGGUCUGUCAAGUCGGAUGUGAAAUCCCCGGGCUCAACCUGGGAACUGCAUUCGAAACUGGCAGGCUAGAGUGUGGUAGAGGGGAGUAGAAUUCCAGGUGUAGCGGUGAAAUGCGUAGAGAUCUGGAGGAAUACCGGUGGCGAAGGCGGCCCCCUGGACCAAGACUGACGCUCAGGUGCGAAAGCGUGGGGAGCAAACAGGAUUAGAUACCCGGGUAGUC